CCUCUAUACCCUUUGUUCUACUAAUGUGGAUUCCGUCAGUGUUAGGGCUGGAAGCAGGAGCCAAAACCACAAGCUUUGACGCAACAACUCUCAUACAGCUAGAGAAUGCCAUGUGCAUCUUUUGGCUAUUUAGGAUCAUAAGCUGACAGACAGAUGACCAAGCGGAAAGUGGUGGAGCAGCACUAACCGUUGGAGCUGGUCGACAUGGCUGCCAAAGGAAAUUUGGAGUCACUUACAGCUGUACAUUCAUAACAUCUAAUUUUUGUUUUAAAGAAGGGACAUGAAUCUUAAAAUAGAAAGGUAGAUAUACAUUUGAUGAGUUGGUCUUGCAAGAUCUGUCCCACCA